GAGUUUGAUCGUGGCUCAGAUUGAACGCUGGCGGCAUGCCUUACACAUGCAAGUCGAACGGCAGCAUGAUCUAGCUUGCUAGAUUGGUGGCGAGUGGCGAACGGGUGAGUAAUACAUCGGAACGUGCCCUGUAGUGGGGGAUAACUAGUCGAAAGAUUAGCUAAUACCGCAUACGACCUGAGGGUGAAAGUGGGGGACCGCAAGGCCACAUGCUAUAGGAGCGGCCGAUGUCUGAUUAGCUAGUUGGUGGGGUAAAGGCCCACCAAGGCGACGAUCAGUAGCUGGUCUGAGAGGACGAUCAGCCACACUGGGACUGAGACACGGCCCAGACUCCUACGGGAGGCAGCAGUGGGGAAUUUUGGACAAUGGGCGAAAGCCUGAUCCAGCAAUGCCGCGUGUGUGAAGAAGGCCUCGGUU
rnacentral:rRNA from 1 species